rnacentral:rRNA from 1 species
AUUGAACGCUGGCGGCAGGCUUAACACAUGCAAGUCGAGCGAGCGGCGGACGGGUGAGUAAUGUCUGGGAAACUGCCUGCUGGAGGGGGAUAACUACUGGAAACGGUAGCUAAUACCGCAUACAAUCAGAUGUGCCCAGAUGGGAUUAGCUAGUAGGGGGGGGAAUGGCUCACCUAGGCGACGAUCCCUAGCUGGUCUGAGAGGAUGACCAGCCACACUGGAAUGGGAACACGGUCCAGAUUCCUACGGGAGGCAGCGGUGGGGAAUAUUGCACAAGGGGGGCAAUCCGGAGGCAGCCAGGCGGCGGGUGUGAAGAAGGCCUUCGGGUUGUAAAGCACUUUCAGCGAGGAGGCGUUACUCGCAGAAGAAGCACCGGCUAACUCCGUGCCAGCAGCCGCGGUAAUUC